UUAAUAGGAGUUUUUUCUUCCUCAGUGAGAUGUGAAGAAAGUAGAUGGUUAGUUGUGGUAGAAAAUUAUUAUUUACAGUCAGAGCAUGAAAGAUUUUCUAGAAAUUUUGAGAUAGAACAUUUAAAAUCAUAGUAAUGGAU